rnacentral:rRNA from 1 species
AAUAGAUACCCUGGUAGUCCACGCCGUAAACGAUGAGUGCUAGGUGUUAGAGGGUCCAACCCUUAGUGCCGAAGUUAACACAUUAAGCACUCCGCCUGGGGAGUACGGUCGCAAGACUGAAACUCAAAGGAAUUGACGGGGGCCCGCACAAGCGGUGGAGCAUGUGGUUUAAUUCGAAGCAACGCGAAGAACCUUACCAGGGCUUGACAUCCCUCUGACCGUUCUAGAGAUAGAGCUUCCCUUCGGGGCAGAGGUGACAGGUGGUGCAUGGUUGUCGUCAGCUCGUGUCGUGAGAUGUUGGGUUAAGUCCCGCAACGAGCGCAACCCUUGUCCUUAGUUGCCAGCAUUCAGUUGGGCACUCUAGGGGAGACUGCCGGUGACAAACCGGGAGGAAGGUGGGGAUGACGUCAAAUCAUCAUGCCCCUUAUGUCCUGGGCUACACACGUGCUACAAUGGCUGGUACAAAGGGUAGCGAAGCAGUGAUGUGGAGCCAAUCCCAAAAAGCCAGUCACAGUUCGGAUUGUAGG